GACGAACGCUGGCGGCGUGCUUAACACAUGCAAGUCGAACGGAAAGGCCCUGCUUUUGUGGGGUGCUCGAGUGGCGAACGUGUGAGUAACACGUGAGUAACCUGCCCUUGACUUUGGGAUAACUUCAGGAAACUGGGGCUAAUACCGGAUAGGAGCUCCUGCUGCAUGGUGGGGGUUGGAAAGUUUCGGCGGUUGGGGAUGGACUCGCGGCUUAUCAGCUUGUUGGUGGGGUAGUGGCUUACCAAGGCUUUGAAGGGUAGCCGGCCUGAGAGGGUGAACGGCCACAUUGGGACUGAGAUACGGCCCAGACUGCUACGGGAGGCAGCAGUGGGGAAUAUUGCACAAUGGGCGGAAGCCUGAUGCAGCAACGCCGCGUGCGGGAUGACGGCCUUCGGGUUGUAAACCGCUUUCGCCUGUGACGAAGCGUGAGUGACGGUAAUGGGUAAAGAAGCACCGGCUAACUACGUG
rnacentral:rRNA from 1 species